CCUUGCCUCUGAUACCCAUGCAUCUGGAAAGAUAGCUGUGCUGCACCAGAAACAAAACGGUGGCAGCAGUUGGUUGGAGAACAAGGUGGGACGGGGCAGUCGAGGCAGCAGGCUGGUAUCACGGGUCCUUGUCUUGCUGAGAAGAGUCUUAGAAGGUCAGGAGCCAGGCAUAAAGCGACAUGAGUUGGAAUGUCUUUGAGUAGAACGGUCUUUUCUUGAGAUGAAAGCUUCCUUCCUCCGUCCCUCCCUUCCUUCCUUUCUUUUUGCCAGAUACUCUGAUGCUCACCUCAUGACAGGACAUCAUCAGGGGAGCCAGCACGUAGUUAAGACCCUGCGGUUCUUGUUCUGGAGUUUACACCGCAUCGGAGGAGACAGCAAAGCCUGGAGAAGUGAAGAAGUUCUGAAUCCAUGGUUGGGAGAAAUAUGGCAGCAGAUGGCAAUAUGCACAAGUGGCAUUUGGACCGGCCGGAUGUGAUGGGGAAUUGGGUUGGCUGUGAAAGAAAUCAAAGAAGACUAUUUCUACUGCUCACAACCCUAAACCUUUGAAAAUAUUGGCAGUGCUGCUGGAUUUCCUAUAAUAUUGUGGGAUGAGAGCAUACAUUGUUUUAUUUGAAAAAUAAGGAAAAGAAGGAUCCCAGAAGAUGGCGUGCUUGGGUGGAGGAACUCUUGGGUUAUGGUACUAAUUUCCAACUGAUUUGGGAUUGGGGUUUAAAACCAGUAUUUUAACACAGCAUGGCUGCUGACUUGUAAUGCAUAACAUUAUGUAAUAGCGUAGUAAGAUUACAGAUUUUACUAGCUUCUAGCUAAUUUCUCUGACCACAUUUGUAAAAAUAUAAGCAUCGCAAUAAUGGAUUGUAACAUACUGAAUUUUAGAAGAAUGAAGUUCCAUAGUGAUUUUUGAAAAUGGUGGGGGUGUGUGCAGUAAAAGCUCUUCUUUAUGAAAGAAUGGGAAGAUGUGGAGGAGAUGACUGCAUUAGAAAAUCAUCAUUUUGCCACUAACAUUAUAAUAAUCAAUGCAGGCAAAUAUGCUCCUUGGUAUUUAGCCAAAGGAAUUGAAAACUAGGAGUUCCUGUCGUGGCUCAGUGGUUAACGAAUCCGACUAGGAACCAUGAGGUUGUGGGUUUGAUCCCUGGCCUCGCUCAGCGGGUUAAGGAUCCAGUGUUGCUGUGAGCUGUGGUGUAGGUUACAGACACGACUCGGAUGCUGUGUUGCUGUGGCAGUGGUGUAGGCCGGCAGCUGUAGCUCCAAUUCAACCCCUAGCCUGGGAACCUCCAUAUAUGACGUGGGUACAGCCCUAAAAAGCAAAAAAAGGAAAAAGAGAAAAGAAAUGGCUAUGUGUGGUUUACAAGCCUGUUAACACUGUCUUCUAGUUGAUUGACCAAACUAGGACACACGAGUUCAAUCCCUGGCCUUGCUCAGUGGGUUAAGAAGCUGUUGUGUAGGUCACAGAUGCGGCCGGGAUCCUGUGUUGCUGU
rnacentral:lncRNA from 1 species